rnacentral:lncRNA from 1 species
UCCCAAAGUGCCAGGAUUACAGGCGUGAGCCUCCCGGCCUGGCCCUGUUCUUUUAAAAAUAGCCGAUCUAACUUCACACUACUACCAAAAGCCAGAUCUGUCCCCAAGCUCUUUCUUCCCACAUCUCCCCUACCUGCUUGAAAGGGGGUGUUAAGACCUCCUCCACACCUGAGCGCCCCCACCCUGUGGCCGCCACCACCAGAACCACCAUCAACUCUGGAGGCCGAUCUGAGGAGAGAAGAGAAGCCAACAACCCCGCAGGAUGAGAGAGCAAUCUCUUUUGUAUCACAGACCCUCCGGAGCAGUUGCGGGAGGGCUGGCUGGGUGCAUGGAAGUAUUUAGCAGGUUCAGUGCCAUUACUGCCUAACAGGGUGUGAAAAGUAAUAUGAAUGUGAAAUACUGUGGGAAAACGGAGAGUUUCCAAAGCAGGCAGCGAGGCCCCUCCGCUGGUGGGCCUGGAAGGCCAGAAUCCCUGCUGCCCCGAGUGCGGCUCCCGGAGGCGCUGCUACUGGCCGAGGACUGCAGAGGGAAUGUCGGGGAGGGGGAGAUGGAUGGAGGGUGAGAUGGGUGGAGGGUGCAGUCCGCCCUGAGAAGAGAGGGAGGGGCAAGCUGGCAGUGCCUGGGAAAAGCCCGAGAAAAGCCCUGUCGGCUCCCUCUUCCUGGCUGCUAAAGUUGACACAAGACGGCUUCUUGGAACUCCCCCUCCUCCCGCCUAAAUGUACAGAGCAAGACUUGAAGUCAAAAGAUAGAUAGCGAUCGUGCUGAAAGUCAGGUGGAAAACAAGACUGCUAAUUUUAUGAAACAACCUAUCAACCCACUGGGAAGAGAUGACAAGAGGUACAUGGGCGCUUCUGCAGGAGGUGGAGGUGGAGGUGAAAUGCCGAGGUUCUAGACUGAUGUAAAUUUCUCCAACUAACUCCAGAUCGAGAGCCUACAAAUCCGACAAAUAUGCCCACACUUUGACAGUAACCGCCUCCCAGCACGCCCCACCACCGCCAACACACAUGGAGGGGUUUGAACUUUUCCACCUUCCGGACCUCUGCAGUCCGUCGCAGGACGCCCAAACCACAGGCCGGACACAGAUGAAGCCAGACCACAGCCCCCGCCCCAGCCACCGCGGUAGGUGGGUGCCCAAGAGACUUCUCAGGCCUAAGGAAAGCAGCCGAUGGCUCCCAAGACAACUCUGUCCGGCCAGUACUCCAGGGCAACUUCAACCCCACUAGGACCCAGGCCAAAACCAUAUAUAUAUAUAUAUAUAUAUAAAUUAACGCAAAACAGAGCCACUUUGGUGCCUACCCCUCCACAAGUAGGUAGGCACAUCCAGGUAGCUCUGUCAGAAGAUGGGACCUGGCGCCUUGCAGGGGUAGCCCUAUGGAGAUCCAGAAGCCCCGUUUCGAGCUACGAAGUCUCUCUUCUACUGCAGUCUUCUCUCCAACGUGGAGAUCUAGCAACUUCCCUCCCCCUGGGAUUCCCUGUGAAUCCACUCUAGUUGGGAUAUAGCCUCUCUACAGCUCAGUGACGUAGCGCGCCAAAACCAAGUACCCACCCCGGCAACUGGAAGACCUAGCUGUCCUCCAUCCCGCCUCCGCAGUCGAUAAUCUCCAGGAUCCAAGCAAAGUGCCUGUCCACGUUGUCACCAGAUCCACAAGCGCUUUUGAUGAGAGCUGCUACCCUUUUGGAAACACGAUUCCCUCUCCCUAGUAGAGAAGAAUCUAUUCUUCUGGGCUGGCGUAGACAAAGAAUAACCAAGAUAAAGUAUGUGGUGUGAAAAUA